GACGAACGCUGGCGGUGUGCUUAACACAUGCAAGUGGUGCGACGAACCAGAGCUUGCUCUGGGGCAAAGCCGCGAACGGGUGAGUAACACGUGGGUAAUCUACCCCGAUGACCGGGACAACCCGAGGAAACUCGGGCUAAUACCGGAUGUGGUGCGGAGACAUAAGUCUCUUCACUAAAGGUAGCUUCGGCUUCCGCAUUGGGAGGGGCCCGCGGCCCAUUAGCUUGUUGGUGGGGUCAAGGCCUACCAAGGCAACGAUGGGUAGCUGGUCUGAGAGGACGAUCAGCCACACUGGGACUGAGACACGGCCCAGACUCCUACGGGAGGCAGCAGUGGGGAAUCUUGCGCAAUGCGCGAAAGCGUGACGCAGCAACACCGCGUGAGGGAAGAAGGCCUUAGGGUUGUAAACCUCUUUCAGAUGGGACGAAGGUUCUCCGGUGAAUAGCCGAGAGGAUUGACGGUACCGGCAGAAGAAGCUCCGGCUAACUACGUG
rnacentral:rRNA from 1 species